UGGGUUAGUGGCGGACGGGUGAGUAACGCGUGGGUAACCUGCCUUACACAGGGGGAUAACACUUAGAAAUAGGUGCUAAAACCGCAUAAGCGCACAGCUUCGCAUGAAGCGGUGUGAAAAACUCCGGUGGUGUAAGAUGGACCCGCGUCUGAUUAGCUUGUUGGCGGGGUAGAGGCCCACCAAGGCGACGAUGUCUAGGGGUUCUGAGAGGAAGGUCCCCCACACUGGUACUGAGACACGGACCAGACUCCUACGGAAGGCAGCAG
rnacentral:rRNA from 1 species